rnacentral:rRNA from 1 species
GCGGAGGAAAAGAAACCAACAGGGAUUGCCUCAGUAACGGCGAGUGAAGCGGCAACAGCUCAAAUUUGAAAUCUGGCCCUCGGGUCCGAGUUGUAAUUUGCAGAGGAUGCUUUUGGCGCGGUGCCUUCCGAGUUCCCUGGAACGGGACGCCACAGAGGGUGAGAGCCCCGUCUGGUUGGACACCAAGCCUCUGUAAAGCUCCUUCGACGAGUCGAGUAGUUUGGGAAUGCUGCUCUAAAUGGGAGGUACAUGCCUUCUAAAGCUAAAUACCGGCCAGAGACCGAUAGCGCACAAGUAGAGUGAUCGAAAGAUGAAAAGCACUUUGGAAAGAGAGUUAAACAGCACGUGAAAUUGUUAAAAGGGAAGCGUUUAUGACCAGACGUGGGCCGGUUAAUCAUCCAGCGUUCUCGCUGGUGCACUUUGCCGGUCCAGGCCAGCAUCAGUUCGCCGCGGGGGAUAAAGGCGUCGGGAAUGUGGCUCCUCGGAGUGUUAUAGCCCUUCGCGCAAUACCCUGGGGCGGACUGAGGUUCGCGCUCUGCAAGGAUGCUGGCGUAAUGGUCAUCAACGACCCGUCUUGAAACACGGACCAAGGAGUCGUCUUCGUAUGCGAGUGUUCGGGUGUAAAACCCCUACGCGUAAUGAAAGUGAACGCAGGUGAGAGCUUCGGCGCAUCAUCGACCGAUCCUGAUGUUCUCGGAUGGAUUUGAGUAAGAGCAUACGGGGCCGGACCCGAAAGAAGGUGAACUAUGCCUGUAUAGGGUGAAGCCAGAGGAAACUCUGGUGGAGGCUCGCAGCGGUUCUGACGUGCAAAUCGAUCGUCAAAUAUGGGCAUGGGGGCGAAAGACUAAUCGAACCUUCUAGUAGCUGGUUUCCG